AAAAACAGAAGCAAUCAGACACGCAAAACAUCACCAAUUUCCACAGAAAACAACAUGGAGUCUCUGGAGGAAGAAACAAUAUAUCACCAUCCGCCGAAAAUGCUUGCCAGUGAGUUGAGCAUUGAUAAGUCAGAUUUACACAAAAGACCUAUGGAAUCACAAGAAUGGAACAAGAGGAUCCUCAGAAGUCUUGAUUCUGAUGCUCAGAGACUCUCUGACCUUAGAACAAGCAUAGGAGAGCUGAAAAAGAGCAUAAGCUCUCAAAGGGAAAAGCUUCCUGCGAGUUAUGGGUAUGAUUCCAUCAAAGAACAAUUAAAGGAGACAGAAGAAGCCAUGUUGGAGCUGAUAGGUAACAAUAGUAGAUUGA
rnacentral:lncRNA from 1 species